rnacentral:lncRNA from 1 species
UAGCUGCCGUCAUUUAUAACUCGCUCGAUCACUCGAUCAGUUGUGGUGCUUACUUAGCGCGAGUUUGUCUUCAUUAAUUAGCUGUGUGAUGGUGUGGUACCUGAGUAUGUGACCUAUAUAUAUUUCUGUCAUUGUGUGGUGGUCAUUAGCGUGAUGUUGUGGUAUCUGAGUGUAUGUGACCUAUGUUUGCUCGUAUGGUUGAAUAGCUACUGAUAAUGAAAUGAAUGGUGAGCCACCAUGACUGUCAAAAAAGAGUUGCGCUUGAUUUUUUAUUAAUCCUUAAUCACAACUAAGUAUUGCCUGCCAUGAGUGCC